rnacentral:rRNA from 1 species
GAGUUUGAUCAUGGCUCAGAACGAACGCUGGCGGCAUGCCUAACACAUGCAAGUCGAACGAUCACUUCGGUGAUAGUGGCGCACGGGUGCGUAACGCGUGGGAAUCUACCCUUGGGUUCGGAAUAACAGUUAGAAAUGACUGCUAAUACCGGAUGAUGACGUAAGUCCAAAGAUUUAUCGCCCAAGGAUGAGCCCGCGUAGGAUUAGCUAGUUGGUGAGGUAAAGGCUCACCAAGGCGACGAUCCUUAGCUGGUCUGAGAGGAUGAUCAGCCACACUGGGACUGAGACACGGCCCAGACUCCUACGGGAGGCAGCAGUGGGGAAUAUUGGACAAUGGGCGAAAGCCUGAUCCAGCAAUGCCGCGUGAGUGAUGAAGGCCUUAGGGUUGUAAAGCUCUUUUACCCGGGAUGAUAAUGACAGUACCGGGAGAAUACGCUCCGGCUAACUCCGUGCCAGCCGCCGCGGUAAG